GAAGUUAGGUAGGCCUCCGAUUCUCCCACAUCACUUGGAAGAUCAACUCGUGUCAAACGACUGUAGUGGAGAGGCGUGGAUAAUGUGCCACCCUUGCAGACGACGGGCACAUGUUGCGUGUGCAGGUGCUGAAAAAGAAUGUUGGAUUUGUGAUUGCUGUUUGUCGACAAAAAUCCAAAUAUAUUUCAAAUAAAGUUAUGUAUUCCAUAUUAGGACCACUUUUUUUAAAUUCCAAAAUAUAUAUAGUUUUGAUUUUUUUUCUUUUUGGGGAGAUUGGAUUUGUCCAGACACACACAAUUUUCAGAUGUUGUUGCUAGCUUACCUUCAAAUCUGUGUGCGAAAAAUUAUGAUUUUUGCACAAAAAAUUAAUCAUCCAGAAGGUAAAAUAAAAAUGGUGUUCCAUAUUUGGCAUACUUCCUAUAAUAUUGGCAACACUGCGAGAAACUAUAAAUUGUAUAAUAUUCGACUUCUAUUAUCAGCUGGUCAAUAAGUUCUAAUUCAGUU
rnacentral:lncRNA from 1 species